ensembl:lncRNA
CUCCUUUGACCAUAUAUUUUGAAAUAAUCUAUCGAGUUCACACAUUUUUUUUCUCCCACUUGAUCAGUUUUGCUAUUUUCUUUAUUGCAUUUUUCAUUUCAUUCAUUGUAUUCUUUAGCUCCAAAAUUUGUUUGGUUCUUUUAAUGAUUUCAACCUGUUAAAUUUAUCAUUUUGUUGAUUUAUUGUUUUCCUGAUUUCAUAUAAUUGAUUCUAUUUUCUUGAAGUUCACUGAGAUUCCUUAAAACAAUUUAAAUUAUCUGUUAGGCAGUUUAUAGUCUCUAUUUGCAGCUUUUAGGAAAUUAUUGUUCUUUUAGUGGCGAUAUGUCUCCUUGAUUUUUCAUGUUUCUUGUUGCCUUAUGUUGAUGUCUGUGCACUUGAUGGGGGUAGUCAUCUCUUUCAGAUUUUAUGCACUGGUUUCAGUGGGGAAAGCCUUUCCCCUAUGAGAGGGUGCUAGGCCCCUGGCUGGGUGAGGUGCAGUGGUUCUGGUUCCAGACAGGACACAGCAGUAUAGUCUCCAUGGAGUUCUGUUAGCUGAGGUCAGUGUGACAAAGAUUGCAGGGAUCCUCAGCAGCUAAUACCGUGAAUGUCCACAGCAGUGGUGAGGGCUAUUGGGAUUGUCAGUGGCAAUGGCUGCUAGUUUCUCCCAAUCUCUUAUUCUCCCACCAAUGAAUCUUUGGACAAUGGGAUCUCUUUUGGCACACGGUCUGGCUUGUGUGCCUGCUCACAGUGGCAGUGGUACAGGUGUCUGAUGAGUGGCAUGUAAAGCAGCCAUGGAGCCAAGUCUUGAAGUAUGAGCAUGCAGAGGGACUAUGGCUCUGGGAUCCAAGGCAUUAAUGGCACUAGUGCUGGGAUGAAGGCACCCCCACUUCCAUGUUGGUGCUUAUGAAGUAAUGGGUAAGCCAUGGAACCUGGGACAGGACUAUGGGCAUGAAUAGAGCUACAGUGGCUCCAGGGUUAGGGGUGCCAGCUAGCUCUCUACGGCAGCUAAGUUUGUGCCCAGAGCACAGGCAUGCACAGAGAGACCUUGGCUCUGGGGCCCACACAUGAUCUCGCUUGCUAUGGUUCUGGUGUAUGAGACAUGGGUACACACAGUAAACCCUCAGAGUAAGGGUCAGCAAUGUGGGCACCUGUGCAACAGCCACAGCUCAGAGGUUGGGGGCAUGCACAGGGAUGGGAAAUGUGGUAGCUCCAGUCCCAGAACAACACAAGAGCACCUGAUUCUUAGGGGUUAUGGGAGUGUGCAGCCACAUCUCCCUCUAUGGGCUCCUGGACACGAAUGGCUGUUGGUUACCUCUGUUGCAAAGAUAUCCUCUGCAUUUCUUCAUUCCUAAUCAUCUCCUGGUGCCUCAAGUAUGCCAAUUUCAACAGCAAUCCUUUCUGUGAAUAUUACUCUUCUUCUUUUUUUCCUUCAGUAUGUUGCUGCAGAUUCUUAAAUAGAUCCUUGAGCACUCUCAGGGCUAUUCUGGUUUGUGAAUGGCUAUUUUUUUUUUUUAUGGGGAGAUUAAGGCUUGUAGAUCUACUACUCUGACAUAUUGGUGACAUCACUCCCAGGACUUUCUUAAAAUGCCAGUGAAUAGAUUCUUAAAGUGGCCUCCAUUAUAUUCUAAUCUCGGUUUUCACAUCUUUGUAUGACUCCAUCCCCUUAAGUGUGAGGAGGACCUGUGACUUGCUUCUAAGCAAUACAGUAGUGCCCUCUUAUGUCUGGGGGAUAUGUUCCAAGACCCCUAGUGGAUCUCCGAAACCACAGACAGUACUGAACCCAACUGCCAUUAAUUGGAACACAUUUCUGUUCAUGUCUUCCACCCACAAAUUUAAUGCUUUUCCAGUCUUAACCAAGCACUUAUGCACUGUGACUGUAACUUUUGCAGUUUGAGGUGUGACAGCAAAACUAGCACAAAUUUCUUUUUCCUUCUUCACAAUUUCACAGACGAUUUGUUCUUAUAGAUCUUAGCAAUCUCAGCAUAUAAUUUAUUUUCUUUCAUUACUAAGCCAAGAACUUUCACCUUUUCAUUUAAAGGGGACAUUUUAUAACUUCUCUUUGGCAUAUCUAAAUUGCCAGCUCUUGUGCUUUGUGGCCAUUAUUAAAAUAAGGGUUACUUGAACACAAGCACUGAAAUAACACAAUCGAUCUGAUAAUGAAGAUGACUACUGACUAAUGGGCACAUAGUGCAGACGACUGGAUAUAUCUUUAUUCCUAUAUAUGUUUUUUAGCUUUGUUCUGGAAUUCAGUUAAGUGGCUUGGAAAGAGUUUGAUCCUUUUGUCUGUUAUAUUUAAGAUUUGUUUGUUAAGACUACUAGAUUAAUACUCAGUCUCUGGAAAAUUAUUCUGUAUUACUAUGACAAUUAUUCUAUACUACUACUACCACUAUGUGUACUCUAUCCAAUUCCCAAUCAUGACAUUUUCCACUCUUCCUUUUCUAGAGGAAAAUGUCACCUCUAACUCUUUUAGCAUAGGUCAGUCUUGGCCUAGUCUCGAGUAGUUUCCUCAAGGCAUGCACUAAUCAGUGCACAGAUGCUCAAAGGUGACCCUCUGCAUACUUCUAGUGUUUUCUCUCUGUAAGGCAAUCCUUCCUUCCUCUAGUAAUCUGUUUUUCUGACUUGGUCUAUCUGGGCUCACAGCUCCAUUUCCUCAACUUGGAUAGUCAACAAGCUGUUUCCCAACCUUGGACUACAGCUUGGAAACUCUCUCAAAGCAUUAAGAGAGGACAACUGUAGGACUCAUCUCAUUUGUUUCCCAUCUCACAGGGAUCACUGUACCUUGUUGUAUGAUGUCCCAUGUCUUGAAAUCAUUGUUUCAUAUGCAGUUUGUUGGUUGGUUGUUUUAGGCAGCAAGGUAAUGGGGCCACUAUCUUGUCUGGAAGCAUAAUACUUGAGCUACUUCUUAUGAAAAAGAAAGGCUGACUCGGGGUUAAAACAAGAGCACAGAGGACAGAGCAAAGAGCCACAGAAUUUUCUCAUGAAGCAGGACAGAAGACCUAAUCAAGAAACUGGCAAUAUAUGCUUAAUUUUAAAAUUUCUAGUGAACAGUGACUGCUAUAGUCCUCCUAUUUUCUUACUUUUCCAUCAGUGUGCCUAUUGCACUUAAUGCAUGUUUCUCUUACUAUUGUGUUUGGUGAGUGUUUGUGUGGAGGGGGUGCAGAUCUUAUGUCUCUUAAGUUCACAAAUCUUCAGACUGAGUGGAAGCAUACCUGAGUAGUUUCAUCUCCAUCUGGGUCUGCUUCAGAAGAGACCUAAACCUCAAGCCUAAGCCUAAUGACUGACUGGGAUGAAAUUUUCUUGAGAGGAUCUGAAUAUAUUUUCAUGUGGGAGAAAUACAAAUUUGUGGCCAGAGGGUAAACUGGUGUUUACACUCCUUCUCUCAAGAGGCAGAAUUAUGACCCCACUUCUUGAAAAUACAUGGGCUCUGUGACAACUCUGACACACAGAAAAAAAUGACACUGUGACACUAUCUGGGCCCAGGCCCCAAGAUGGCACCUUCUACCUCUUAUGUCUUGGAACUGUCCUUUGGAAUGGUUGUUCUGGCAGAAGCCAAAGCCAUAUAGCAAGUCCAACUGCCAUGAAAUUGCUAUAUAUGGAGAAAGUCAUGCUAGCUAGUCCCUAGCUGCUCCAGUCAUUCUAGCCCAGGCACCAGACAUGUGAGUGAAGGAGCCAUGUUGAAUAUUCUACACCAGCAUAUACCAUAUGGAGAACAGAGGCCCUAGACAUAUAGCUUCAGUCAUCUCCAGAUGUUUAAACCACUCUAGCUGAGGCCCCAGACACCAUGAAGCAGAGGCAUAUCAUCCAGCUGAGCCCUUAUCAAAUGCCUCACCUAUAAAACACUAGAUAUAAUAAAAUGGCUAUUACCAUAAGCCACUAAGGCAGGGAAUUUUUAUUCACUAAUGUAUCCCUUACAUGCAGAACAGUGACUGGCAUAUUAAAGACACUGAAGUACUUGUUGUAAGCCAACUUAAAAAUGGUAUUUCUAGAUCACCUAGAAAGUGAGUGCAAUGGAUAAAAAAUAAGGUUUGAAAGUAGGCAUUUCAACAUUUAGAGGCUGAGGAGAUGAAGAGGAACCAGCAAAGGAGACUGAGAGAAUACAACUAGUAAGAAAGAAGAAUAAAUAAGAAAGUGUUCUAGAAUCAAAGUAAAGAAAGUGUUUCAUAAAGGGGAAAUGAUCAAGUAUGUCACGGAUAUGCUGAUAGAUAAAGACGAACACUGAACAUUAAUUCUGGAUUUGCUAGUGUGGAAAGUCACCAAUGACCUUGACCUGAAGAGUUUAGUAGAAUAAUGAGGAUGAAGUUUGACUUCAUCCUCACUGCACUGAGAAGAGAAUUAGAAUGGAGGAAGAUAAAACAGACUUUUAAAAAAUGAGUUUCCUGUCAACUGCAGAAAGGACCAGAGGGGAGAUGCAAUGCCAAGAUUUGCUGUUGAUAUAUUAUAAAAAUAUUUUUGCAUGCUAAUAAGAAUAAUCCUGCAAAGAAGAGAAAAAAAAUAAUAAUACAG